GAUGAACGCUGACAGAAUGCUUAACACAUGCAAGUCUUUGGCGAAGCUGUGCUUGCACAGCCUAGCCAAGGCGGACGGGUGAGUAACGCGUAAGGAACUUGCCCUGCAGUCAGGGAUAACAGACGGAAACGACUGAUAAGACCUGGUAAAGUCAGGCGGACUCAUGUCCAGCCUGAUGAAAAGUGAUGCUGCAGGAGAGCCUUGCGUCCUAUUAGCUUGUUGGUGGGGUAACGGCCCACCAAGGCGAUGAUAGGUAGCCGGCCUUAGAGGGUGGACGGCCACAAGGGGACUGAGAUACGGCCCUUACUCCUACGGGAGGCAGCAGUGGGGAAUAUUGGACAAUGGGGGCAACCCUGAUCCAGCAAUUCUGUGUGCACGAUGAAGGUUUUCGGAUUGUAAAGUGCUUUCAGCAGGGAAGAAAAAAAUGACGGUACCUGCAGAAGAAGCGACGGCUAAAUACGUG
rnacentral:rRNA from 1 species